ACCAAGCAUAAAGUAGGGUAUCAACUUAGCUCGUUGACAGGUUUUUCAACUGUACGCGGGCGAUGGGGGACGUGAAGACCCCAGACUUUGAUGACUUGCUGGCAGCGUUUGAUAUCCCUGACAUUGAUGCCAUCCAGUCAAGCCCAGAAGACGACGAGGUGUCUGCUGCCAAUAAUAAUGAUAAUGCUAAGGAAGGUCAAAGUCGCUCCCCUUCCUCCUUCCCCGGCUCACCUACCUCUCACAGUGAUCCCCCUGCUGUCAGUGUUAUCGUGAUGAACACUUUGCGGGCUUGUGAAGAUGACGGAGAAAAAGACAACACCACAAACACUGCUGAGAUGGAUGACGCCUCUUCACAGUACAGUGCUGCCCUUAAUGGGUCUGCUGCUGCUGGUCAGCUAAGAUCCAGCGUGGCACCGUGGCGAUUGAGCGAAGAUGACACGGGUUGCGAUCCACAUCUGGAGCCUACCAAAUUCUCAGUUCCUUCCUUGCUGACGCAGCAGAAGGAGGAGGCACAUCCCCCAAUGCAUGCUUCUCCUUUAGCACACAAUGGAAAUGGUUCAAAUAAGAAUACCAUGCACUUGGAUGAGGAGGACUCAGAACCAGACUUGGGAAGCCCGCUGGUCAUACAUGAAAGCCCAGAAUUUGUCAUGCCGUCACCACCGAAAUUGAAGCACAGCGUCAAGCAUCAACCUGAGCUGUGCGCCUCCCCGGAAACCACCUCAAGCAGUCCCCCAAAUGCAUCUUCCAGCACCUCUGAUGAGCAGGAGGGGAAGCCUGAUUCCCUUGCUGCUCCACAGCCUCCAAGCCAUCAGAACUGUCUUGUUGCACCAGUGCAAGAGGAGAAAUACCCAGAGCAUAUCAUUGAUGAGAGGGACUCGCCUGAGAGCCCACCACCCAGUGAGACGGGGCUUCUGCUGGCCAAGAGAAGCAGCAACCCGGUGUCUGCCUCUGAUUAUCAGGAGGAGCUUAUGGACUGUGAGCCCAGACAUGAGGGCCGGUCUAGUGACAGUGAAAAGACUGCAGGAGAUGAGCAAACUGUAAAUGAGGAAAAUGAUGAUGCUGGCCCACCACCUGAGUCAUCAUCAGACACUGCUAGUGCUGCACUGACCGCUUCAACUGAAUUGUUGCCCCUCAAAGUUAAAAUCAAAGUGCCUCCAAAAACAACACCUAAAAAGCGAGCAAAUUUGAAGGGUGUGUAUACAAAAUCUUCACCACAAGCUCCCAAUCCAAGAUCGAAGAAGGGGAUAUCUCGGGAAGGUACAGUCAAAGAAAAAAGCACAGCAGUCCUGAAAUCUAAAGUUCCUCCCACAGUUGUUGGCAUUGCCAGAACAGCACCUCUUCCCCCCAUGUCUGCCUCAUCAACUAUCCCGAGUGGUGGCAGCCUACGCAGCCUGGGUCACAAGACUCUCCAGAGUCCUCCUCAGAACAGCAGCAGCAGACCAGCCUCCAUAGUCAACAGUGCUGGGGCCAUCAUAUCCAAGAGCCAGACGAACUUGGUGGAAAGUUUCAACAAAAUUCUCACCAAUAAGAACCUGCUGCCCUCUUAUAAACCGGACCUGAGAUCACCUCCUCCUGCCGAGUGGGGCCUUCCUCUACCUGCACAGGGUUACCGCUGCUUGGAGUGUGGUGACGCCUUCGCCCUAGAGCAGAGUCUGGCCCGGCAUUACGAUCGGCGCUCACUUCGCAUCGAGGUGACGUGCAAUCACUGCGCCAAGCGGUUAGCCUUCUUCAACAAGUGCAGCCUGCUUUUGCACGCCAGGGAGCACAAGGAGCGAGGCCUGAUCAUGCAGUGUUCACACUUGGUCAUGAAUCCUGUGCCUGUGGAGCUGAUGAUCAGCCAGAAUGAACCCAAUGGAGAGUCCACCCUCCAGCCCAAAGUGCAGCCACAUCUGGCGACACCUAACAAAGCAGAUGCCCUGCAAUGCUUUGGGAAUAAAUGUCCAGAAUGUCAGGCUCAGUUCAGCAGUAGAGAGGAGGUGGCUCAACAUUUCCAAGAAAUCAAACAAGCUCAAAGCACACCAUGCACGGAAUGCACUCCUCCGAUGCUGCUGCCCAACAGCUGCAGCACAGCAGCGCAUCAGCGCAUCCACCAAGGCGGCCCGCCGUACGUCUGCCCUGAGUGUGGAGGCACGGCCAAGCAGGCGCACUUUCAGGCACAUCUGGAUCACACUUGUUUGCACUUUUCACGACGCAUUGGUUACAGAUGCUCCAGUUGCCUGGUGGUGUUUGGAGGCUUGAACUCAGUGAAGUCUCACAUCCAGCAGGCUCAUUGUGAUAUUUUCCACAAGUGCCCCAGCUGUCCCAUGGCUUUCAAGUCUGCACCCAGCACACAAAGUCACAUCACGACGCAUCAUCCGACAUUAACCGAGGGACAGGCCAUGUUGAUCUAUAAAUGUGUCAUGUGUGACACCGUUUUCACACACAAGUCCUUGCUGUGCGUUCACUUUGAAUCACACUUAACCAAUCAAAAGGUUCAUGUGUAUAAAUGUCCCGAGUGUACCAAGCUGUUUUCUCAGAGAAAUUCUCUAAUGGAUCAUUUCAAGAGCCACAAGUCAACCAAACAAGAGUUGCCCAGUGCCCCAGCUUCUAGUCCACAGCCGCCAGUCAAGUUAGAGAGCUCAGACGGUGAGGAUGAAAUGGAUAAAGACACCGAGGAGGACAGUAACGCAGAGAUGACAAAGACACUCUCCGGGUGGAAGUGUGUUGACUGCCAUGCACGGUUCCUUGACCGGGAACAGUACAUCCACCACAUGGCUAAACAGCAUAACAAGAUCUUGAAGAACUUCCCUUGUAACAAAUGUGAGAGCUCCUUCACCUCAACCUCAAGUCUGAGACGGCAUAUCCGUGACAAACACAAGGCCCCGAGUCGAGGCUUCCCCUGCCAGUUCUGUACGGGCAGUAAGAAAACAUUCAGCAGCAGAGUGAUGUUGGACAAGCAUGUCCGGCUUCGACACAGCUCAGGGAUGCAGAAGCAGGGAGCCACAGAUGAAGCAGACAGCUCCUCGGAACACGACGGCACUCCACUGACCCGCCGUGGACGCAGAGCGGCUUGUAAGAAGGACCACGACGACGAGUCCACUCCUGUUAAAAAACUGCGAUCCUCCUCCACGCCAGCCCCUUACUAUUCCCCGGAGUCCGGGUUCCGCUGUGCCCCCUGCGGCUUCACCACAGAUGACCAGGCCACGUUCCUGGCACACAUUGGCCAGCAUCGAGUAGCAGCGGAGGGCGGCGGCAAGCAGCAGUGCUUACAGUGCGGCGCCUGUUUCACUUCGACCACCUCGCUGUCACGCCACCUCUUUAUCACCCACAAAGUCCGAGACGCGUUCACGGACCAACAGGAAAUGCCCAACUCAUCUGAAGUGUCAUCUCCUAACAGCAGGAGGCUUGAUGAGAAUUCUCUGGGUUAUCCUGCUGCAACAUCGCCCUCAUCUCAAACAAACAUGGCUGCAGGGAGGGAGGAGGACGGCGCUUUGAACUGUAAGGUGUGUGGCAAACACUUUGACAAGGCCACAGACCUGAACACGCACUUCAGAACUCACGGGAUGGCAUUUAUCAAUGCAAGAAACACAGGAAAACCAACAUAAGCCUCUGUGCAGCUUUGGAGGCAUAUAGUCCAGAAAACCUUGGUUGAUGUCUAAAUUGGGGGCUGCAUGGCUCAGGCAGUAGAGUGGUCUCCCAUCCUCCAGGUUGCUGGGUCAUCAGCUGUGUCAUCAUUUUGAAGGUACCUAGAAGGUAAGCACUAUACAAGUGAAAGUCCAGUUCCCAUUUCAGUUGCUCAACUUUAGAAGCAUUCCACUCUGGAGCUUCCACAAGAGUUAUUUCAGGAAAAGGAUUCGUUCAACUUAGCCCACCUCAACUGAAACAUGAACUUUUAAAAAAGAAAACAUUUGAAAAACCCGUCCUGGUCCGCCGUGUUCCUCUUAUUACUAAAAAGUGCCCGCUUAAGUUGACGUCAACAUACAUGGUUUUUUGCUUUUGUCGAUAUAAAAUGUGAGAGCCAGAGGGCUCAUUUCUAUGUAAAAUGGGUCAGUUUGUGUCGACGUGUUGUAGUAUUGUUAGAUUUGUAGUUAUGUUAAAAUCAAUAAAAACAAGGAAGGGUGGGGGAUGCAACAGCCUGUUAUUGCCCAUUUUUCUGAAUGUCACAAAGUCACAAAUGUGCAAGUAAAGGCAUUAUGUCAGCUUCAGUCAACUUAAAGGAAAAGUGCACUUUUUUGGAAUUUGGCCCAACAGCCACAAUCCUUAUAUGAGACAUGAACACACGUCUUUUCCUUUUCUGUGCAUUCGAAAGACAAAAAAACAGCUAGCACCAUGCAGCUUACAAUGCACGUAAUGGGACGCACCUAUUCCUCCUAUAAAAAAAGUGCCAACGGUGUUCCAUUUACAUAGUGUGACCUGCAUAUUAACCAAACUACAGCUACAUUGUUAUUGUAGGAGCUAACAGCAAAAAACGACUUUUAUGGCACAGUGACACAGCGCCUUGCUCACAACGCCUCACGCCACUACCGAAAGGUAAAGGACCCACUCCAUAAAAAAGGAGUGGGUGAAUAAAAAAGGGUUAGCCCACAUUCCAUGUUUUGUUUAUACAUGACGAGAUGUACUGUGUUGUGAUAUCAUGUACUAUGUACUCCAUGUAUCACAAUCAAUAUCAUGGUGACUUACUCAAUGGACAGUUGUCCGCCUGGUCCAGCCGGCCUUGGGCGUCAUUUCCAGUUGAUGUGAAAAGGUUUUUACCACGGCAGGGUUUGUUAAACAAUUCUUAAUUGGUUGUGAUGCAGUCUCUUGGAGCAGUGUCCUCCUCUCCAUACAUGUAAAGCCUUUCCAUCGAUGAUAACACUGUGUGCCACUCAGUGCAGCAGGAACAGAUGAUUUUUGUCAGAAUGGCUUGGCAAGCUCCACCAUACACCACCAAGUCAUGCCGGGCCUGACUCUCUCUCAUCCUCCGUAUAUCCAGGCUCAAAAACAUAAGGUUCUGGAUCCUCAUUUGUCCAAAAGAAGUAGUCGGGGCAGCGGUGGCUCUCACGAAGUCUGCCAUAAUUAGUAGUAGCAAACGCAGACACGUGCUUUCUAUGCUGCUGUUGUUGACGGAAGUAGCGCUAGUUGUCCGCUAAAGCUUAAAAUGACCAAAAUACGGUAUUACAGUCGUCCCUCCCGACAUAGUGGUUCGAAUAUCACGCCCUCACUCUAUCGAAAAAUUCAUUAAUAAAUUAUCGCUGUUUCGUGGUUGACUGUGGCCCAUUAUUGGUCAAAAAAAUGUUGAAAUGCAAGUUGUAUGUAGUGUUCUGGCCGCUACGUGUCAGUAAUGACACAAAACAUUGAUGAGACAUGACAUUAUCGUCACACUGCAUGAAGUAAACCAUGGCAUGUUCGACAUGAUGGAGUGAAAAGAAGUUGUCCUCCCAUUCAGUGUGGAAGUGGUACAUUUUUGGCUUCUUACUUUUUUCCCCACUUCGUUUGAUGCUAACUAGUUACCUCGCUGCCAUGCUAUGCUGUGGUGGUCGCCUCUCGUGUCCCUGCAGUGAUCCAGUGUCCUGCACAGUAGCAAUGUGUUGGAAACGGAGUGUAACGGUGACUAUAAUGGUGUUAUUUCAUGUCUACAUGGCUCAAAUAAUGGAAAAAAAACAUAUUUAGAAAAUAAUAAAAAGGUUUUAUACUAUCUAACUACGAAAAUAUUCCAGUUAUUACUAUUGACUGUUAACUACUUGUGGAAAUUUACUUCAGGUCUAGAACCAGUAAACUGCGAUAAAGGAGGGACAACUGUACAUGUUCUCAUGAAUGUGCCUGUUGCAUGGUCACAGCAUGUAUAUAAAACUUUGUUGGAGGAUUUUUAGAGGGCUUUAUAGUCAAAAUACGUUGUUGAGUCCCAUUACGUGCGUUGUUAGCUGCCUCAUGCUAGCUGCUUUUGUCUUUAGAACGCACAGAAAAAGGAAAGACGUGUGGUCAUGUUUCACUUCAGGAUUGUGGAUGAUGGUCAAAAUUUGGGGAAAAAAAGUGCAGUUUUCAUUUAAACGGGUUCCACUGUGUAUGCUGACUUACGAGAGGAAAAAUGCUAUUUAAAACAUUUGCUAUGGAGUUUGUCUGCAUAUUCUGUAUUUUAGUGUGCGUGUUCUUUUAUCUUCCCUUGAAUUUCUAGAUGUGUACUUUUUUUUUUUUUUUUUUACUAAGUAAGACUUAUCACUCGGUGGCUGACAGCAAAAGGUUAUUUUUGUCUAUUUGCCUGAACAUUGGCUGAACUUGCCGGAAUAUGUCUGAGCAAGACUUUUAGAGAACUAUUUCUUUUAAUGCGUGUAUUAUUAUUGAGUGAUUUGUGUGCUUGUGAUUAUUGUCUCAGGAGAUCAGUCAACAAUUUAGCAUUGUGCACUGUUGAUUGUGUUCAAGCAAAAAAAAUAAACUGUGGCACAUUGUCAUGCAAUUCAUUUGUCAUCUUUAUUAACAGCAAGUAAGAUUCACUGUUCUCAUGAGGGAUGGGCGUAACAUUCGGCUAACUGAUCAUGUUUUGAUUGUUGAAGCAAUUGAGUCAAAAUGAAGUGCACUACUUGGCUGCAACCAGCAGAGGCGCUGUUCAGUCUCAACUAGUUUGCUGCUGACUGUGCUAUGACACAACUCCGGGCACCAUUAUUCUGUUCAAAGCAACACUGUUAUCGAAACAGGAGUUCAGAACAUUCAUAGAGAGUUUUUAUCCAUCCCAUUAUAAAUCAAUGUCACUUAAUUUCACGUUAGUCAGACGCCCAUCCCUUGUUCUAAUGUGCUUUUCUAUGAUUAUGUCAGUUUGAGUUCUUUAACACAUGUAACCAAGGCUGCUAGUUCUCCCAGUGAUCCCUGCAGGACAUCACAGCAGCAGGAAGCCCACGAGGAGAGCCAGAAGGGGCUUGACAAGGACCGACAUCCCCUCUGUGCUCACUGAAGGAGCUCCUGGACAUCAGAGAGACACCAGAAUGACAACCACAAAGGUAGGCCAGCUCACCUUUUCAUGUAUGGAUUUAGUUUAGUAAUGUAGCACUUGCUUCAUUUAGGAAGCCUCCCUGCUAGUCAUUCAUGAUGCGAAGCAGAUGGGAGCCUAAUGGAAGAACAUUUAGAGUGAAAAUUGAAAUCAUCUGCUGGCAACGUCAUAAAACCUUUUUAUGAAGCAACAUUUUGGCAUUGUUGGCUGUCAUACAAGUGUAAAAAGAAGCUAACCACUGUUAAUACUAAUAUAUAAAAAGUAUUAGAGACUGUCUUCAUGUUGAUGGCUGAGACGUAAUGAGUUCUGAAUUCAUGAGUAUUACUGUUUGUAAGCAUCAGGCACGCUCAGUGUUUACCUUUUAUUAACAUGUCAUUUGAUUAUUAACAAGUAAAUUAGUGGUUGACUUAACCACUAAUAAACAAAAUAGGGAUGCACAGAGCCACAUUUUUUCACUUCCCAUCUGCUCUCGAUACAUGAAUUGGGCUGCCGAUACCAAUGCUAUUCCGAGACCAGAUUUUUGUUUGCUUUAAAAUUAUUAUUAUUGUUUAGAAUGACGAGGCGAUGGGUGAUCAGCAAUCAAUUUACUGAACAAAACAGGUUACUGUCAGCUGCAACCAUGCCAAAACAACAUCAGCAAAUGCCGGUGGAAGAAUAACAGCAAAUGUAGCUGCCUCCACACAUGCGUCGCCGUACACGCACACAAGCGCUCACUAAGCCUGAUGCAUUCAUGGCUUCACACACAGUCGGACAACACAGGAAUGUUAACGUCUCACAUAACUUCCGGAUCGCUACAUUAUAUCAUUGUUGAUGAUUGUUGUAUGAGGCUGGAAUAAAACUCCUCUCCACAUGCAAAUAUCAUAUUGUAGCGACCCAGAAGUUUUGUGUAGAGUUUGUGAUGUCCAACUGUCCCAACUUCCAAGGUGCAGGGCUUGUGUGGGGGAGGACAGCAACGUUUGCUGAUAUUGUUUUAGCUACAUUUUCUGAUAUUCUUGUCCCUUGGAAACUGUCUUUUUUUUGGCGGGGUAGGGGACUGAGAUUUUGUCUUAAAAAGUAUUUUUUCCAAAAACAUGUCUUUAAAAAAGAAGUCCUAUUUUCGGGUCAAUACAGUAAUCCUGGAAAUGUCACAUUACCAGCAAGUUGUUCUUCACACCUGAUUGCACCUGACUUGCAGGAUUUUGAACUUCCCCAAUUUCUGCCCUCUCCAGGGCUUCCAGUUGCACAUCUGUAAGAGCAGCUCGCUGUCCACUGGUUACCAUGGCAGCAUUGUCAGGGCCAAGAGCUUCCAGCUGGUCGGUAGAGAGUGCCUAAUUGGGUGGGAAGUAGAAACUAGUCAGGAUUUGUCCUCAGGCUGAAAGGUGGAGGAUCAGAUCAGUGGUUUGAAAAAGUGUUUGCCCCCUUCCUGAUUUCUUUUUUUUUUUUUUUGGAUGUUUGUCACACUUAAAUGUUUCAGAUCAUCAAACAAAUUUAAAUAUUUGUCAAUGACAACACAACUGAACACAAAUUGCAGUUUUUAAAAUGAAACAUUAUUAUAGCCAUUAUCCACAAAUGACAAAAACAUGGAACAGUGGUGAACCUUCCCAGGAGUGGCCGGCCCACCAAAAUGACCCCAAGAGCACAGCGACGACUCAUCCAAGAGGUCACAAAAGACCCCACAACAACAUCCAAAGAAAUGCAGGCCUCACUUGCUUGAGUUGAGGUCAGUGUUUAUGACUCCACCAUAAGAAAGACACUGGACAAAAACGCCCCGCAUGGCAGAGUUCCAAGACCAAAACCACCGCUGAACAAAAAGAACAUUAAGGCUCGUCACAAUUUUGCCAGAAAAGACCUUUGGGAAAAUACUGUGUGAUCUGUUGAGACAAAAGUCAAACUUUUUGGAAGGUGUGUUUCCCAUUACAUCUGGAGUAAAAGUAACGCCGCAUUUCAUAAAAAGAACAUCAUACCAGCAGUAAAAUAUGGUGGUGGUAGUGUGAUGGUCUGGGGCUGUUUUGCUGCUUCAGGACCUGGAAGACUUGCUGUGAUCAAUGGAACCAUGAAUUCUGCUGUGUACCAAAAAAAUCCUGAAGGAGAAUGUCCGGCCAUUUGUUGGUGACCUCAAGCUGAAACCAACUUGGGUUCUGCAGCAGGACAAUGAUCCAAAACACACCAGCAAGUCCACCUCUGAAUGGCUGAAGAAAAACAAAAUGAAGACUUUGGAGUGGCCUAGUCAAAGUCCUGACCUGAAUCCUAUUGAGAUGCUGUGGCAUGACCUUAAAAAGGUGCUUCAUGCUGGAAAACACUCCAAUGUGGCUGAAUGACAACAAUUCUGCAAAGAUGAGUGGGCCAAAAUUCCUCCACAGCGCUGUAAGAGACUCAUUGCAAGUUAUCACAAACGCUUGAUUGCAGUUGUUGCUGCUAAGGGUGGCCCAACCAGUGUGAUGGUAAUAUUUAUAGUUUGCAUGUAUAACUUAGGUCACAUUAUUGUAUUAGUUUUAGGUAUUACUUUUUAUAGUCAUUUGAAGUGUUUAAGUGAGCGUAGUAUCCGAGUACAUCCCGCAGUCCCUUCAAGCAUAGUGGGCCCAGCAGGAGGUUAUCUGUAGCCUGAGGGUAACGAACAGUGUCAGAGGAAGUGACUCUUUGAUAAACGCUCCACCCUCCCAGGACAAGGGGGCAUCAGGAAGUCCCUUCAAACAUAAUUGACCUCUCAGUAAGGAGGUUAUCCAGCAUGGGUGCGACAAACAGUGUCAGAGCAAUGGAAUGUAAGCUAACAUCUGCAGACUGCCAUACACGUUGUAUGUUUCUGUAUUGUCUGACCGUCUUUUCCAAAAGAAAUAAACUUCGCAAACGCCCUGUCUUUAUUUCAGGCAUUCUCUUUUCGUAAAUAUUUGUUUCCACAACACCAGUUAUUAGGUUUAGGGUGCAGUCACUUUUUCACACAGGGCCAUGUAGGUUUGGAAUUUUUUCCUGCCUUAAUAAUAAUAAUAAUCUGAAUGAAUUAAGGAUCUGGAACAUUUAAGUGUGACAAACAUAAGAAAUCAGGAUGGGGGUUAAUACUUUUUCACACCACUGGAAGAGAAGGUGACUCACAGCUAUGUUACUUGGAUGAAGGAGCGGAAUGCAGCUCUCGCUAAGAAACAUCAACACAGGUGCACUCAUAGAUUGCAACUCGUGUGCAUGCAAGCCAGCUGAAGGACAAUCAAAGCAGUUCCAAAAAAGACCAUCCAAAUGUACAACAACAUCACACAAGACGGGGGAGCCAUCCUACCAAUCAUGUUCCCCACUUCGGAGACUGACGCCUCAGUCCAGCUGCUGGGGUGUCCAAACGCAGACACCAGCAGCUUUUUAAACCGCUGGGCUACUUUGAGUGAGCAGCGGAUGUCGUUGAUGGAGCCCACGGCGUCCCUGUGAAGCACACGUUUUAACCAGUUCAACAUGCACCACCAUCAUCAAUCAACCUCAAACCUGAAAGCACUGAGGUCCAGUUGGGCGAUCUCGUCAGAGGUCAGGCCGCACAUGAAUCGGUUCAGAGCCACCAUGUCUGAAGCGUCCAGCCGCCGAGCCGCCAGGUUGUUGCGUUUAGCCACACUUCUCCACACUGGAUUCAGCUGUUGGCACCCCAGAUUAGUGGAUAUCAUGAUGAGGAAUGCUGGACAUGUACAUGUGCUGGACAUGCAGGGUCAAAUCAAGCCCAUAAAUUACAUCAAACUCCAAGUUCAAUUUAAAACUCUUUGUAGCAGAUUCCCUAAAACCAGCAGAGCAUUCUUACAAUCUUUGCCGUUGGUUCUUAAAACAUCAGAGCACUCCUGUCAUUUAGAGGAUCUUCGACUGUUUUUUUUUUUUUUGAUGAGGUCCUUAAAGAUGAGGUCCUUUGAGAAAUUAAUUAAAUGAUCACCGUUUCGUGGUAGACCGUGGUCUAUUAUUAGUCAAAACAUAUUGAUGUACAAGUGAUAUGUAGUGUUCUGGUCACUAGGCAGCAGUAAUGACACAAAACAUUGAGGCAUUACCUUACAUGACAUUACCUUACCACUGCAUGAAGUCAUGUCAUGGCAUGUUCCACAUGAUAGCCUGAAAAAAAGAAGUACUCCUCCCAUUCCUUGUGGAAGUGGUCGAUUUUUGGCUUCUUAAGUUUAGAAAUAACCGGUUAGCUCGCCAACUUGCUAGCUAGCAGCCGUCUCGAGUCCCUGUUGCAUAAGAGUUGUGCAAUGUGUUGUACACAAUGAAUAAUAGGAGUGUAAAGGUGACUAUAUGGGUGUUAUUUCAUGUCUACAGGGCUCUAAUCAUGUUAAAAACUUUAUCUAGAAUGUGAGUUUUCUAUGCUCUAAAUUGGAAAAUAUUCAAUUUAUUUAUAAAAUCGCGGAAAUGAAUUUAUCUCGGCCGGGACUGGAACCAAUUAACUGCUAUAAACAAGGGAUAAUUAUAUGUUUCAUUAGCAUUUUUGCAUUAGGUUCUUAAAAACAGCAAAGCCUUCCGAUCAUAUAGAGGAUCUUUGACUGGUGUUUCUUUUGCAGUAAGUCCUUAAAAACAGCAGAGCCCUCCUGUCAAAUAGAGAAUCUCUGACUGGUGUUUUUUUUUCCAGUAGGUUCUUAAUAACAGCAGAGCCCUCCUAAAAUAAAGAGAACCUUUGACUUGCUGUUUUUGCUGUAGCUCCUUUUAAAAAAGCAGAGCAAUCCUGUCACAUUGAGGAUCUUUGACCAGUGAUUUUUUUUGUGUGUGUGCAGUACAUCUUUAAAAACAGCAGAGCGCUCUUGUCAUAUAGAAGCUCUUUGAGCAGUUUUACUGCAGUAUGUCAUUCAAAUCGGGCGUGCUCCCGUUACAUCGAGGAUCUUUGACUAGCAUUUUAACAGUAGGUCUUUAAAAUCAGCAUACUCUUGUCAUAUAGAGGAUCUUUGGCCAGUGUUUUUUUUUUGUGUUUUUUACAUCCUUAAACAGUAGAGAAAUCUUGUCAUGUAGAGAAUCUUUGACUGAUGAUCACGUUUGUGUAAAAGAAGCUGACUCGUGACGCUACUCACAAUCUGACAUCAUCUUUACAUUUCCAUUAUUUGGGGGUAAAAAUAAACCUCAAAGAAGGCAUCAUGUUGUUUACACCGUGUUGCUUCACCUGCGACAUCUUCCAGCCACAGCGCCCUACUUCCUCCAGCAUGUCCAAGGAGAAGGCCAUCUUCUCCAGGUCGGAAUUAGAGAAUCCCUGAGCGAUACAUCCCAUCUGUGCCACGACGCUCUCAUUCAUCUGAGACACAGGACCCAGGGCCUGGACAGGGACAACAAAAGAUUACUACUCUGCUCAAAAGCACCAAGCAUUUUCUCAUGGAGACAACUUAUUGGGAAAUGAAUGAGAUUCCUCCAAAAUAUUUCUUAGUUUUUAAAAUCCAGAAUGUACCUCAGUUGCCUUUUUACUGAGCACAGUCAGCUGCUCGGAGUCAUAGUCAGGGACGCUGCCAAGUGUUUCCAUGGUAACAAGGAAAGUGUCUGAUGACAUCAUAUCCAGCUGAUCAGCUGACCAGAAGACAUUGUCCAUUGCCAGCGCGUUUAUUGCAUCCACCGUUGGUUUGUUACGAUUCAAACUGCGAGUCAUACGGCUGACUAGAGGAGGGAGAAAGGACGACAUCUCAUGUCAUCCCAUGUUAAAAACAGUCACACGCAUACUAUUAACUCCCGACCUGUUCUCUUUCUACGUUCCUCCUCCCUUUUGUAUGUGAUGAGGUUGAACAAUUUCCUCCUCAGCGCUUCUGUCUGGUGCCUCGUCCUCAGGAAAUAGAAGACCUCGAUCAUCCAAGGCUAGCAGAGCCCACAAAGCCAAGCGGCGAUUGGUGAACAAUGACAAAACAUUCAUUCACCAUCCAGCAUACAUUUUCUUGAUGACAGAUUGUACUAAAAGACAAGCACUGGAUUAAGCACACUCCAUGGUUAUGCUGCCAAACAUUGUCGCUGUGCAUUGAUCUCCAAAUUUUGACAGUUUUUCUUGUUGUACAAAAAGCAAAGUUUUUUUUUUUUUUUUGCUUGGAUAAAAAAAAGGCUGCACGGUGGCCAAGUGGUUAACAUGUUGGCCACAUAGUCAGGAGAUCUGGAAGAUCUGGGUUCGAAUCUCUGUUGGGCAUCUCUGUGUGGAGUUUGCAUGUUCUCCCCGUGCGUGCGUGCGUGCGUGGUUUUCUCCGGGUACUCCGGUUUCCCACAUGUCCAAAAACAUGCAUGUUAGAUUACUUGGCGAUUCUAAAUUGUAUGUGCCCUGUGAUUGGCUGGCGACCAGUCCAGGAUGUACCCCACAUCUCGCCUAAAGUCAGCUGGUAUAGGCUCCAGCAUACUCCUGCAACCCUAGUGAGGAUUAAUCGGCAUUGAAAAUGGAUGGAUGGAUUAAAAAAAACAUUGCCACACUGCAUUUCAUUUGACAGCAACAAAUUAUGCCCUAAUGUUUGGUGUAAGUGCAUAAUUAGCUUCCAUUUUAUUUUUGUAGAUAUAUUUUUAAUCAAUUUAGAAUUACAUGCAUUCUUUUGUCAUAAAAUUGCUAAUGUUUCUCUUCCAAUGGUAAUAAUUUACUUGGGAUUUUUUAAAAUCACAAUAUAUUAUGGGUUUUCUUCUCAGUUUUGACAACAAAUUCACAGAAUUUGUCUGAUUUAUUUAUUUUUUUUCUGGUGACAUCAGUUGCUAGGCAGACAAUAAUAACUGUUCUAUUGUAUAGCAGGGGUGUCCAAAAUUUUCCGCUGAGGGCCAAAUACAGAAAAGUCAAAGGUAGUGUUUGUUUAAAUGUUAUUAUUAAUUAUAUAAACAGUAUAUUUAAAGAAAAACAAACAGCCAGCAUUUCAGAUUUGUGUUUUCGAUGACAAAGCAUAUUAUUAUUAAUAGUAGUAUCAAUAUUUCUACUCUUUCCUGUUAUAUUAUGCCUUUUUUUGCUCUUUCCCCCCAUUUUUUCUGUUGUUCUUUUUCAGUUUUCCUGUGUAAUUCUAUUUUUACAAUGUGCUGUGGUCCACAAAUGGCCCCUGGGUCGCACUUUGGACACCCCUGCACAAAAUAGCCCAAUUACAAUCUGAUACAUGCCAGUCACAUUUACUCGCCUGCGAAUAGAAAUAUGGGUUGUAUUUGUUCGUACAGGCUAAUUUAGCGAAUGAGUCAAUGCUCUGUAUAAACUAUAAGAAAGGCAGCAUAACAGGACCACCUGGUGGGAAACUGGAAGCUACACACCUUAUAGGGCAGCGCAUAUAGAGCUGUCUCGUCCAAAUCCAAGAGUGGACCAAAAGACUCCAUAGUUUCCUGUGACCAAUCAGAUGGGUCCCUGCAGGAGGUAGAAAAAAAAACUACUGACAUCCUGUCUCUGUAAUAUCUCAGGUACCCACUCGGAGCAGGAAGUACCCAAAGUUGUCUCUGACGAGCUCCAUCAGUGCUUCCCUGCGCCACAGAGGAAUGUGCUGGCAGGAGGCCAUGGCCUGCAGGGUGGCGUUGAGGCUGUCGGCCUCUAUGAGGCUCAAUGUGGAGGCUUCAAGCUCACAUACGAGUGGUCCGAGCCGGGACACAUCCUCCACGGUCAGCAGUGAUGACGCGUUCUUCUCCUGAAAACAGUGAACAAAUGGCCCUGUUAUCCCACUAGCAUGCAUCCCCGUGUUCUAUUGAAUCAGUCAGUAAACUCAUAUGAUGAACGUGUGCUUUCCAUGAGAAGUUGAGCUAAGGGAUUUUUAUUUGAAAUAUAUUCAUGAUUGGAGAAUUUUACAUGGGAAUUGAUGAGGAUGAAUUAGCUACAAAUUUUCAGUAUCAUAUACUGUAAAAACAAGAAUAAACAUGAACAUUGUUUCUGCUAUAUCUCAAAUAUAUGUAUUUGAUUCAUUAUGAAGAUAUUAAAAGUUACAACAGUUAUUAAACAUACAUAUUUUGCAUGCAAUGUAUUUGUUAUAAUGAUUUUGGUGGGGGGGCUUUGAAAACUAUGGACAUUUUAUAUGCGUAAUGACUCAGAAAAAUAUAAAUACUGUCUAUAACUAUUAAUUUUAUUUUAUUAUUGUAUAUACUUUUUGCCCUUGAAACCACAAAGAAAAUGUAAUUACGUAUUAAAAAACAUUUUAACAUUGUCUAUAUAAGCGGACAUGCAUGCAAACAAUUUUUUAAAUUCAUUUUUUUUGUUUUUGAAAGCAUAAGGAAAAUGUAAUUAAACGAGCAUUCCAGUGUAAACUACAUUGUACAUUAUGUCCACUAUCAUUUUUAUAUUGAAACAUUUCAGUAUUGCUUUAAUGAGCAGACAUGCAUGCAAACAAUUCUUUGAAAAAAUGUCAGGUCUUUGUAAAAAACCCAAAUAAAAAUGUCGAAAAUUAUUAAAUGAUGAUUUCUACAGUAUAUCUACAAUACAUUUUUAUAUUUG